rnacentral:rRNA from 1 species
UACGAAGGGGGCGAGCGUUGUUCGGAUUUACUGGGCGUAAAGGGCGCGCAGGCGGCUUUGUUUGUCAGGCGUGAAAGCCCCGGGCUUAACCUGGGAACUGCGUUUGAUACGGCAGGGCUAGAGUUCGGGGAGAGGAGAGUGGAAUUCCCAGUGUAGAGGUGAAAUUCGUAGAUAUUGGGAAGAACACCGGUGGCGAAGGCGGCUCUCUGGACCGAGACUGACGCUGAGGCGCGAAAGCGUGGGGAGCAAACAGG